AGAGUUUGAUCCUGGCUCAGGAUGAACGCUAGCGACAGGCUUAACACAUGCAAGUCGAGGGGCAGCAAUUUGUAGCAAUACAAAGUUGGCGACCGGCGCACGGGUGAGUAACGCGUAUGCAACCUACCCACAACAGAAGAAUAAUCCGGCGAAAGUCGGUCUAAUACUUCAUAAAACAGGGACACCGCAUGGUGUUAUUUGUUAAAGAUUUAUCGGUUGUGGAUGGGCAUGCGUACCAUUAGGUAGUUGGUGAGGUAACGGCUCACCAAGCCUACGAUGGUUAGGGGUUCUGAGAGGAAAGUCCCCCACACUGGUACUGAGACACGGACCAGACUCCUACGGGAGGCAGCAGUGAGGAAUAUUGGUCAAUGGGCGAGAGCCUGAACCAGCCAAGUCGCGUGAAGGAUGACGGCCCUAUGGGUUGUAAACUUCUUUUGCAGGGGAAUAAAGAUAUUCACGUGUGGAUAGUUGUAUGUACCCUGCGAAUAAGCAUCGGCUAACUCCGUGCCAGCAGCCGCGGUAAUACGGAGGAUGCGAGCGUUAUCCGGAUUUAUUGGGUUUAAAGGGUGCGUAGGUGGACUGUUAAGUCAGUGGUGAAAGUUUGUCGCUCAACGAUAAAAUUGCCGUUGAAACUGGUGGUCUUGAGUAUGGAUGAAGUAGGCGGAAUGCGUGGUGUAGCGGUGAAAUGCAUAGAGAUCACGCAGAACUCCGAUUGCGAAGGCAGCUUACUAAGGCAUAACUGACACUGAAGCACGAAAGCGUGGGUAUCAAACAGGAUUAGAUACCCUGGUAGUCCACGCAGUAAACGAUGAUUACUAGGAGUUUGCGAUAUAGUGUAAGCUCUACAGCGAAAGCGUUAAGUAAUCCACCUGGGGAGUACGCCGGCAACGGUGAAACUCAAAGGAAUUGACGGGGGCCC
rnacentral:rRNA from 1 species